AUGAUCAACGGCUGUCCACGGUGUGGCAACAGAAAGCUUUCACUAAGUUGCUGGGUCUGCGAUACAAAAUCAGUUAUCGCCAAGGCUGCCAACAGCGCCGCUGACGUGCUCUCCGGCCACUUACACACUUUAAACCAAGCCAUGGCCAUGUCAGUGUGCCAACCUACUUGGGUGGAGGACAUCCAUGCCAGCUAUGCAGAGAAUGACCAAUCUAAGAAACCGCUCACUGAAUUUUCCAAGCGACCCGAUGCAAAACAGAGGUUUUCUGUCUCAGAGGGCUUGCUGUACUUCCGCCACAGAUUAUGGCUCGGUGGGUCGCCAACACUACAGCAGUGUAUUCUGCGCGCCUUCCAUGACAGCACCAUGGGUGGGCACUCCGGAUUUCCGGUCACCUAUCAUCGCAUCCGCCGCCUUUUUGCCUGGCCCAAAAUGAAGGACACUAUUCGCCAGUAUGUGCGCACUUGUGCCGUUUGUCAGCAAGCCAAGCCGGAGCGAGUCAAAUACCCUGGUCUAUUAGAACCAAUUCCAUUGUCGGAAGGAGCUUGGGAGAUUGUUACUAUGGACUUCAUUGAUGGCCUCCCGCAAUCCAACAGGGCCAACUGUAUCCUCGUCGUUGUGGACAAGUUCACACGGUAUGCUCAUUUUAUGCCACCGAAUCAUCCUUUCACAGCAGCCAAGGUCGCUCGAGCUUAUUCGGACAAUGUUUACAAGCUGCAUGGUCUCCCUAAGGCAAUUAUCUCAGAUCGAGACCCAGUGUUUACCAGCAGAUUCUGGUAG
rnacentral:rRNA from 1 species